rnacentral:rRNA from 1 species
AUACGUAGGUGACCAGCGUUAUCCGGAUUUAUUGGGUUUAAAGGGCGCGCAGGCGGGAGAUUAAGUCGGCGGUGAAAUUUUGCAGCUCCACUGGAAAAGGGCCUUCGAAACUGGGUUUCUUGAGUGCAGAUGAAGUAGGCGGGAUUUGUGGUGUAGCGGUGAAAUGCAUAGAUAUCUCGAGUCACUCCGAUUGCGCAGGCAGCUUUCUAAACUACUGCUGACGCUCAGGCACUAAGGCGUGGGGAUCAAACAGGAUUAGAUACCCUUGUAGUCCACGCAGUAAGCGAUGAUUACUCGCUGUUUGCGAUACACAGCAAGCGGCUUAGCGAAAGCGUUAAGUAAUCCCCCUGGGGAGUACGUUCUCAAGAAUGCAACUCAAAGGAAUUGACGUGG